rnacentral:rRNA from 1 species
GACGUACGCUGGCGGCGUGCUUAACACAUGCAAGUCGAACGAUGAACCCGGAGCUUGCUCCGGUGGAUUAGUGGCGAACGGGUGAGUAACACGUGAGUAACCUGCCCUUGACUCUGGGAUAACUGCGGGAAACUGUAGCUAAUACCGGAUACGACCCUCGGCGGCAUCGCCAGGGGGGUGGAAAGAAUUUCGGUCAAGGAUGGACUCGCGGCCUAUCAGCUAGUUGGUGAGGUAACGGCUCACCAAGGCGACGACGGGUAGCCGGCCUGAGAGGGUGACCGGCCACACUGGGACUGAGACACGGCCCAGACUCCUACGGGAGGCAGCAGUGGGAAUAUUGCACAAUGGGCGCAAGCCUGAUGCAGCAACGCCGCGUGAGGGAUGACGGCCUUCGGGUUGCAAACCUCUUUUAGUAGGGAAGAAGCGAAAGUGACGGUACCUGCAGAAAAAGCACCGGCUAACUACGUGCCAGCCGCCGCCGUAA